CCUACGGGAGGCAGCAGUGGGGAAUAUUGGGCAAUGGGCGCAAGCCUGACCCAGCAACGCCGCGUGAAGGAAGAAGGCGUUCGGGUUGUAAACUUCUUUUCUGAGGGGCGCAGAAAGUGACGGUACCUCAGGAAUAAGCCACGUCUAACUACGUGCCAGCAGCCACGGGAAUCCGGCGGGGGCAAGCGUUAUCCGGAUUUAUUGGGUGUAAAGGGCGUGUAGGCGGGAAAGCAAGGCAGAUGUUAAAACUCAGGGGUCAAACCUGAGCGUGCAUUUGAAACUGUUUUUCUUGAGUGCUGGAGAGGCAUGCGGAAUUCGGAGUGUAGCGGUGAAAUGCGUAGAUAUACGGAAGAACACCAGUGGCGAAGGCAGAUUGCUGGACAGUAACUGACGCUGAGGCGCGAAAGCGUGGGGAGCAAACAGGAUUAGAUACCCCAGUAGUC
rnacentral:rRNA from 1 species